GUCAGUUUGCCAAGCAGAAGAAAAUGUCUCCAUGCGGCAGCUGUAGAGCACAGAGCGUUUCCCAGGUCCCGCCUCCCCUGGUGUUAGGUGAACGCUGCUGGUGCAGUACCUGAAGAAGCCUAAAAAGCUACAGAAAAGCCAAGAAAUACACCCCAAGUACUGCAUUAAAAUGAAACAUCCCAAGAGACAGUAUGUCUGGGCAAAAAGGUUCUUAUGAAAACUCAGACUCUGGAAUCUGUCAAACCUACAUUGAUUUAUAUAAACUGACAUUUUUGAAAACUAUUUUUAAAGUGAUGGAGACAAGGUACUUGGAGGACGAAGCUUCCCCCUUAACUAUAAGAAAAGCUUCAGAAUGCCUUGGAAUACAAGUCACACUUCUGGAGCUACACCUUCAGAAAUGACUCAAUAUGUUAAUUUGUUGUUAUGGAAUAUAGUCUUACAGGAAAAUGUUAGCACUAAACUAUAUUGGUAAUUGUGAUGUCUUCAAUUUACCUGUACAUGUACAAAGACUAAUGUUAAUAUUUUGAUUUCUUCAAAGAUAGUUUAAUACAGAAUUGAACAAUGUUGCUAUAGCCAUUCAAAGCACUUGUACACAUAACUGUUUAAAAUACUACCUCUGGGCAAGGCAUUUUUUAGUAGCUGCUUUCAGAUUAUUAAACAAAGGCGUUAAACUACAACAUUAACUAGUAAUCAAAGCAUCGUUAUUUCUUAUUACACUCUCUGGUGACUCUGAUGAUAAGAAAUGCUAAGAAGAAUGUCUAGCAGCUGUU